UCACGCCUGUAAUCCCAGCACUUUGGGAGGCAGAGGCGGGCGGAUCACGAGGUCAGGAGAUCGAGACCAUCCUGGCUAACACAGUGAAACCCCGUCUCUACUAAAAAUACAAAAAAUUAGCCGGGCGAGGUGGCGGGCGCCUGUAGUCCCAGCUACUCGGGAGGCUGAGGCAGGAGAAUGGCGUGAACCCCGGGGGGGCGGAGCCUGCAGUGACCCGAGAUCACGCCACUGCACUCCAGCCUGGGUGACAGCGAGACUCUGUCUCAAAAAAAAAAAAAAAAAAAAAAAAAAAAAAAAGAGAAAAGAUACAAAGAGAUGAAAUGACUCCUCAAGAUCACAGAGAUCCGGGCUAAGAAGGCUGCUUCAGGUUAAAAAUUGUCUCCAAGGAAGCUCGUGCACAUAACCCACAGAAAGCCCCAAAGAUGAUAUAAUAGAGUCAACUAUGCAGAAGAUGCAAGUUCAAGGAAGAAGAGGUACAAAGAACAUAAAUAGAAGCAAAGACAUGAAAGACAAGAAGAGAAUUCAGGCUAUCAGAAAAAAAUUCUGAACAUGGCUCUCUCCCACUGUGAAUCAACCUGUAAAGGGAGGCUUAAAAAACAAGAUUGCUACUGAGGACAUAUAUCAAGAUAGCGUUUGGGACAUGCUUUAAUGUGGGCCCAGUCAAAAGAGGACAUAGUCACAGAUCAGACAGUUUGGUAAAUGUGGCACUGACUCCAUGGCAGUCUAGAGAGGAUGAUGUUUCUCUCUCUUUGGUAGCAGCUCAUAGAAUAUAGCUGUUUAGAAUUAAGAAGCGGUGGGCCGGGUGCGGUGGCUCACGCUUGUAAUCCCAGCACUUUGGGAGGCCGAGGCGGGCAGAUCACGAGGUCAGGAGAUCGAGACCACGGCGAAACCCCGUCUCUACUAAAAAUACAAAAAAUUAGCCGGGCGUGGUGGCGGGUGCCUGUAGUCCCAGCUACUCGGAGAGGCUGAGGCAGGAGAAUGGCGUGAACCCAGGAGGCGGAGUUUGCAGUGAGCCGAGACUGCGCCACUGCACUCCAGCCUGGGUGACAGAGCGAGACUCCGUCUCAAAAAAAAAAAAGAA